rnacentral:rRNA from 1 species
AUUGAACGCUGGCGGCAGGCCUAACACAUGCAAGUCGAGCGAGAGGCGGCCUGGUGAGUAAUGUAUGGGGAUCUGCCCGAUAGAGGGGGAUAACUACUGGAACCGGUGGCUAAUACCGCAUACUAUCGGCUCAACCCAUAUGGGAUUAGAUAGUAGUUGGGGUAAAGGCCCACCUAGGCGACGAGCCCUAGCUGGUCUGAGAGGAUGAUCAGCCACACUGGAACUGAGAAACGGCCCAGACUCCUACGGGAGGAAGCAGUGGGGAAUAUUGCACAAUGGGCGCAAGCCUGAUGCAGCAAUGCCGCGUGUAUGAAGAAGGCCUUCGGGUUGUAAAGUACUUUCAGCGGGGAGGCGUUACCCGCAGAAGAAGCACCGGCUAACUCCGUGCCAGCAGACGCGGUAAUAC